AAUGCAGUCGAACGAUGAUGCCCAGCUUGCUGGGUGGAUUAGUGGCGAACGGGUGAGUAACACGUGAGUAACCUGCCCCUGACUCUGGGAUAAGCGUUGGAAACGACGUCUAAUACUGGAUAUGAUCACUGGCCGCAUGGUCUGGUGGUGGAAAGAUUUUUUGGUUGGGGAUGGACUCGCGGCCUAUCAGCUUGUUGGUGAGGUAAUGGCUCACCAAGGCGACGACGGGUAGCCGGCCUGAGAGGGUGACCGGCCACACUGGGACUGAGACACGGCCCAGACUCCUACGGGAGGCAGCAGUGGGGAAUAUUGCACAAUGGGCGAAAGCCUGAUGCAGCAACGCCGCGUGAGGGAUGACGGCCUUCGGGUUGUAAACCUCUUUUAGUAGGGAAGAAGCGAAAGUGACGGUACCUGCAGAAAAAGCACCGGCUAACUACGUGCCAGCAGCCGCGGUAAUACGUAGGGUGCAAGCGUUGUCCGGAAUUAUUGGGCGUAAAGAGCUCGUAGGCGGUUUGUCGCGUCUGCUGUGAAAUCCCGAGGCUCAACCUCGGGCUUGCAGUGGGUACGGGCAGACUAGAGUGCGGUAGGGGAGAUUGGAAUUCCUGGUGUAGCGGUGGAAUGCGCAGAUAUCAGGAGGAACACCGAUGGCGAAGGCAGAUCUCUGGGCCGUAACUGACGCUGAGGAGCGAAAGCAUGGGGAGCGAACAGGAUUAGAUACCCUGGUAGUCCAUGCCGUAAACGUUGGGCGCUAGAUGUAGGGACCUUUCCACGGUUUCUGUGUCGUAGCUAACGCAUUAAGCGCCCCGCCUGGGGAGUACGGCCGCAAGGCUAAAACUCAAAGGAAUUGACGGGGGCCCGCACAAGCGGCGGAGCAUGCGGAUUAAUUCGAUGCAACGCGAAGAACCUUACCAAGGCUUGACAUACACCGGAAACGGCCAGAGAUGGUCGCCCCCUUGUGGUCGGUGUACAGGUGGUGCAUGGUUGUCGUCAGCUCGUGUCGUGAGAUGUUGGGUUAAGUCCCGCAACGAGCGCAACCCUCGUUCUAUGUUGCCAGCGGGUUAUGCCGGGGACUCAUAGGAGACUGCCGGGGUCAACUCGGAGGAAGGUGGGGAUGACGUCAAAUCAUCAUGCCCCUUAUGUCUUGGGCUUCACGCAUGCUACAAUGGCCGGUACAAAGGGCUGCGAUACCGUAAGGUGGAGCGAAUCCCAAAAAGCCGGUCUCAGUUCGGAUUGAGGUCUGCAACUCGACCUCAUGAAGUCGGAGUCGCUAGUAAUCGCAGAUCAGCAACGCUGCGGUGAAUACGUUCCCGGGCCUUGUACACACCGCCCGUCAAGUCAUGAAAGUCGGUAACACCCGAAGCCGGUGGCCUAACUCGUA
rnacentral:rRNA from 1 species